rnacentral:rRNA from 1 species
AAUCAAGUGCCUUAAGGGUGUUCGACGGAUGCCUUGGCGCUGAGAGGCGAUGAAGGACGUGCUACGCUGCGAUAAGCCAUGGGGAGCUGCGAAGAAGCUUUGAUCCGUGGAUUUCCGAAUGGGGAAACCCGCCUUCGAUAGCCGGAACUCCAAGGCCUUGCGUUUCGAAAGAGACGUGAGGGUUUGGAUUUCCGGUUAUCAAGAGAAGGUAUGAGAUCUCUGAAUACAUAGGAGGUUUCAAGCGAACCCAGGGAACUGAAACAUCUAAGUACCUGGAGGAAAGGACAUCAACCGAGACUCCGCUAGUAGUGGCGAGCGAACGCGGACCAGGCCAGUCAUCAUUGGAAGACAAUUGGAAUCUGUCAGGAAAGCAGAGCCUUAGAGGGUGAUAGCCCCGUACAAGUAAUUCAACCAUUGAUGCUCGAGUACGGCGGAA